rnacentral:rRNA from 1 species
CGUGUAGGCGGCCAGACAGGUCAGCUGUGAAAACUCGAGGCUCAACCUCGAGACGUCGGUUGAAACCGUUUGGCUAGAGUCCGGAAGAGGAGAGUGGAAUUCCCGGUGUAGCGGUGAAAUGCGCAGAUAUCGGGAAGAACACCCGUGGCGGAGGCGGCUCUCUGGGACGGUACUGACGCUGAGACGCGAAAGCGUGGGGAGCGAACA